rnacentral:lncRNA from 1 species
CACCCCCCGACUCCGUAUCCGCACCGCGUAGUCUGAUGGCGGCGACUCCAGCCACGGCUUCCGCGCCGUCCCGGUGCCUGUCCGGCGCCAAGCCGCGCUGCGCCGCCCUCCGCAGCCCCAGCUCGCUCGCCGUCGCGGCGCCUCCGGAGGGACUUCGGCCGCGGGGGAGCCGCGCCCUCUCCGUCCGUGCUAAGGUGAGCGUGAGGCCAUAUUAUCGCUUCUGCAGCUUUAACCGCUGCGGUUCUAAAUGCCGUUGACUUGUUUCGGCGUGUUCAGUGCUUACCGUAAAACCGUCCGUGGUCCCGUCAUCCCAAUCCCGUGGCAACGUGGGAUUCUGAAUCGGCUAUGCGUUCGUCCGCUAUAGACUUGAGUUAACUUGUGUUUUUCCACGCAGGUUGCCAGUGGCGUGCAGGGUGCCAGCGUGGUGGAUGAUGGAGGUGAGUUGUCCUUUGCUUGCCGAUUCAGAUAGCGUGUUUUGUACCCGUCGCGUACGAUUUUGUAUUACUAUUCAUCAAUUGUGUAACGGCGCAAUUUUUGGGCUUCGGUGAUUUCUUUGUCGCUGCUUAUGAAAUUUUUUUGUGCAGUGGAAAGGCCAUGGAAGCUGAGUGAUGCUCGCCUUGUUCUGGAAGAUGGUUCUGCGUGGAAGGCCAAGUCUUUUGGUGCUUCAGGAACACAAGUUGGUGAAGUUGUUUUCAACACGUCAUUGACAGGGUAAAUCCUCUAGGACUUGCUUUUACUUUUGUCUGAGUGAUGGCAUGUUUUGCAUGUCCUAGUUGAUUACUGCUUGUUUUCUCAGUCAAGAUGACGGUUUACUCAUGAUGGAAGUUAAGUAGUAGAUACUUCUUGAAAAACUAAGUAGAUAUUUGAUGGGUCAGUUGACAGUUACUCCUACCAGAGCUAACUUAUCUCAUAUAGCCAUAUAGGUGCACGGGUAUUGCAUAUAUGUUGCAGCCUAGUCACUGUUAUAUCAAAGAAAUGAGCUGAAAUAUUAAAAAACCUGUUCCAUCCUCUUUUCAAUCCAUUUUGUUUGAAAUUUUCAGUUCUACGAUAUUAAGAGUACAUCGGAGUUUGGUGCGGCAUAACCAUUAGGGAUGAAUUGCUGGAUCCUGGUAUUCCUUACAUUAAAAAAAAUAUGUGCCUUUUUGAGGCCAGAUAAUUCGGGGAAUGGUACUUUUGUUCAUCACAUUUGGUAGAGCUACUCAGGCAUCGAUAUACUGAGGAUGAUAAGUUCUUUUAGAAAAUACACAGAAGAUGAUUUUAGCUAGGCAUAUUUGUCUGGAUGGUUGACCCAGGGAUUCUACUAAUCUGGCACUCAGAUUUCAGAGUGCUACCAUUCCUCAAUAAACUUCUUUGUAUUAUCGCACAAGAGUUUUCAUUUUUACAUUGUGAAUGCUGCAAGGCUGUCUUGCCACAGUAUUACUCUAGCAUGAGUGAUUGUUUGUUUUAAAUUCAUGCAUGACCCAGCAGCCUUGGUUAUCUUGGUGAUGCGAGCACCAUUUUAUGUUAGACUAAGAAUCGUCCUUUAUGUGUCAUUCGUGGUUGCAGCUAUCAGGAGAUUUUGACUGACCCGAGCUAUGCUGGUCAAUUUGUCCUGAUGACCAAUCCCCAUAUUGGAAACACUGGCGUUAAUCCCGGUUUGUUACCCUUCCUUAAAAGAUGUAAGAUGUUCUAAAAUUAAGCAUGAAAUAACUUGUAUUGCUUUUGCAGAUGAUGAAGAAUCGAGCAGAUGUUUCCUUGGUGGCCUAAUCAUAAGAAAUCUAAGCAUAUGGUAAAUUUUUCUGUUUUAUUAUAAGUUGAUACUCUUGAGAGAACUUCCCCCAGUUUCUUGUUGUUAAACUUUUAAUUUCUUUUGUAGUACUUCCAACUGGCGAUGCAAAGAAACACUUGAAGAGUAUCUGAUUAAGAGGAACAUUAUGGGAAUAUGUAAGUAAUAGAAGCUAACAUGUCUUCUCUAUCUCUAGUCCACAUGCACGCACAAAAAGUAAAAUAAAAUAGAUCUCUAACUUCUUCUUGGAUUGCCCUUUUUUUCAGAUGACGUGGAUACACGUGCCAUAACACGGAGAUUAAGAGAAGAUGGUAGUCUUAUUGGCGUCCUGAGUACUGAUCAAUCUCGGACGGACGAUGAGCUGUUGGAAAUGGCCCAGAAGUGGAAAAUUGUUGGUAUGUUAAGAUUUCUUUAAGCAGUGAUGUCCUUGAGUCCUUCAGGAACUAACCUGCCCCUUUUUUAACCCCCCAUAUUUGAUUAUCUGUAUGAUUCUAAAAAUUUCAACAUACUUCAUUAUCAGUCUCCAGUGAUAAACCUGAUCCUAAAUGACUGCCUAAUGAUUAGCUUGUAUAUAACAUAUUGCUCUUUCCCAACAUAAUAUAGUACAAACUACCUUAAAAUGUAUUGAGCUAUUGCUGGGUAAAAUGCUACAUAAUAUCUUUUUUAGGGCCUUUGCUAGACAAUAUCUGUUGACCUUUGUCGGAACUGAGUGCCAUUGAAUAUCAUCGAUGAAUUCAUCACUUCAAAUAUCUCAGUGCAUGUUUCAGAAAAGAAGAGUUGAAAAAGAGCAAGGGAGCAACUAAAAAUAUCUGCUUUUAAGUUUUAACUUUUAUUAAAUCUGUUGGAGCAACUUAGAUUUGUUACUGUCUCAAUUGAGUGACUUAGUUCAUCUUGGCAUUGUUUUGUUGCACAUGGGAAUGGUAGUUCUUCAGUACUUGUUCUGUUAUAUUGCUGCAAAUGACCUCUGAAUGAUGUUUAUGCUGUUGUCUCUUGGUUGUAAUGGAAGUAACUUUUGUGUUAAUAUUAUGCAGGAGUUGAUUUGAUUAGUGGUGUCACAUGUGAUGCUCCAUAUGAAUGGUCAGACAAAACAGAUUCAGAAUGGGAGUUCAAGAAGGAUCAGUCGAGUGAAACUUUUCAUGUCAGUAUUGGCGUCCUCCCUGGCUCCCUCGCUCCCUGUGCUCAUCAAAAUAUAUCUUGCAACUGACGUUGGCUUGCUUUUCUUCUAUAUAGGUGGUUGCUUAUGAUUUUGGAAUCAAGCAUAAUAUUAUGAGACGCUUGACAUCAUAUGGAUGCAAGAUAACUGUUGUUCCAGCGAAUUGGCCUGCUUCAGAGGUACUUAAGUUGAAGCCUGAUGGUGUUCUUUUUAGCAAUGGUCCAGGAGAUCCAGCUGCAGUUCCCUAUGCUGUGAAGACAGUACAAGAAAUAAUUGGGAAGGUUCCUGUGUUUGGCAUAUGUAUGGGCCACCAAUUGAUUGGGCAGGCUCUUGGUGGGAAGACAUUCAAAAUGAAGUUUGGUCAUCAUGGGGGGAAUCACCCUGUUUGUGAUCUCCGAAGUGGACGUGUAGACAUAAGUGCACAGGUUUGUUCCGACAUCUUGAUUUUUUUUUCUGCCUGAUAUGAAUCAUGUCUGUUAAAAAUCAUCCAAUUUUGUUUGACUGAUACAGUACUGAUCCUCUCACUUAGUUUCCUGUUGUAUGACCUGCCUAUUUGUUGAGAGGUGCUGCACUUCUUUCACGCUUUCCUUCAGUAAAUUUGAACUGCCCAGACUCUUCAUACAAAAUUGUAAAUUUUUUUAGGUAAUCAUGUUGUAUCCACUUUGCCAGUCUAGCCUGCUAGAUGAAAAGGUUGAAUAUUACAAAUCAGUUGUGAUAUAAAAAUUGAUGUUGAUCAAAGUGACUUGGCUGCUCCACCAAGAAAAUCAUGUUUUACCUCCUAGUAGAAUGGUAGCAUCCAUGCCAGUGCUGUUACCUUUCCUUAAUCUGUGUCUAUGAGAGUCUGAAAUGACUAUUCUUUAUCCCUUUUAUUACUUGUUAUGCUUCCUAGCUGUCUGCAUGCUCUGCAUUGUCCUAAACCACAAUUUGUUUCCCUGCAGAACCAUAACUACGCAGUUGACCCAGAUUCACUUCCAGAAGGAGCGAAAGUAACUCACAUCAAUCUCAACGAUAAUAGCUGUGCUGGCCUUCAGUACCCCAAGAUGAAGCUGAUGUCUCUCCAGU